GCAGUUUUAAAGAAACAAAAAUACAUAGGCAUUGGGUUCUCAUUCUUAGUAACCUUGGCUUAUUUUCAUCUAAUUUUGGUGUCCAUUCCCUGUUCCCUAACACCUAUUUUCUAAUUAAAUUCAUAUUAAAGUUUCAAAUUUAUGAGACAGAGCACAGAAAACAUACAGUGUGCUUGUCACACAGGUGGCUUUAGGGAGAAUCAUUUCAACGUAAACACCAAGAGAUUGGUCUGGAGCCCAGAAAAAUAAAAAAAAGAAAAUAAGCAUUCCACUUCUCCAGACUCUGCUGUUUUCAGGGUGGUACCUCCAACCAAAAGCUUGUUUCUUAUUCAUCCAUCACUUCUGUACUUUGUCUUGACCAUGAACUCUUGGUCAAGUCAUUAAUCUCUCUGAGCUUUUCUCAUCUGCAAAUUGUAGAUAAUUUCAAUAAUCCUAAAUUUUCUGGGCUAAUCUGUGAUGAUAUGUGUGAAGGCAAUUGAAAACCUCUAAAAUAUCUUACAAAUAUUGACCUAUUAUGAGAAUGUGUGUUUAAAUACAUAAAACAUUAAAUACAAAUAAAUACAAAAUACAAAAAAAAUGUUAAAUACAAACAAAAUUCCCUGAUUCCCCCUUCUAAGAAGCCUGAAAGUUGGGUGAUCCAGCAGGAAAGGAGAGCGAACCUCACCAUCAGGAUGGAAUAAGAUGCCAAAGAUAGGAGGAGAGUGGAAACAAGGGAGAGCCCAGCGAGACACUGUUUAAUGUUUGAAAUCAGUGCCAAGCUAAAUUAGAAACAUGAGUCUGUGUACCUGUAACUUACCUCAUCGGUAUAUCAUCUGUAACCUGAGAUCCCCUCACAGAGAAGUAAAAAUAGCAAGGCUCUUGGGCUGAGUGCAGGAGGGCCAGCGUGGGGAAGGAUAAAGGGACUAGGCAGAGAACGCCAAUCACGUGGUCUGAGCGAGAACUCCUCCUCACCCCUUGGGUGGUGGCAGGGGGAAUACAGCCAAGAGAGGUGACAUCAAGGGCGUUAUGACAUUUCCUCAAAACGAAGCAUCAUUGACGUCCUGCGCCUGCCUGCUCCUGCCCUGAUCAAGGCAAGUAAACUAGUCAAUGGAGGCACGUGCUCGCGCAGGUGCGGAGCAGAUGAAGCUGCUUUUCCAGGCGUGUAGCUGGCUCUUAGCAGGGUGCAAGCAGCAAUUUGCGAAAUGAUUGCCUCGCUCUCCACGAAAACGUUUUCCCUCACUGGGCGGGUGAGCUUGGGAAUCCCCAGAGAGCAGUGUGCUGCCUUCCAUUAGGGUCUUGUCGCCUCUCGCAUCAGCUCUAUGCCUGUCUUGUACCACUGCGAAUUGAUCUGGGAAGGCUUUGUCUGCCUUUAGUUCCUG
rnacentral:lncRNA from 1 species